rnacentral:rRNA from 1 species
AAAUUAUCCUCAUAAGUUUGACGACCAAAGGUCCCGCUUAAUUUAAAAUAUACUCUAUAGGUUAUUUUUUAUCUAAACGGUGACAUAAAAUCGGAGGCCCCGACUGUUUACUAAAAACACAACACAGUGCAAUGAUUAAUAUCAUAGUAUACUGUGUGAAAUUUGCUCGAUGCCAUUAACAUAAGAAAGGCAAUGGGUAACUGUUGCUUAUCGAAAGCGUGGUGAAUAGCGGUCUUAACUAUGAGGAUCCUAAGGUAGCAAAAUAAGUUGGCCGUUAAAUGCGGUCCGGUAUCAAUAAUGUAACGAUGGUCUCACUGUCUCUACAACUUGCUCAGUGAAAUUGAAUUGCGCGUGCAGAUGCGCGCUGCCUCCUGUGGGACGGGAAGACCCUAUGCAGCUU